rnacentral:rRNA from 1 species
GAUGAACGCUGGCGGCGUGCCUAAUACAUGCAAGUCGAGCGAACGGACGAGAAGCUUGCUUCUCUGAUGUUAGCGGCGGACGGGUGAGUAACACGUGGAUAACCUACCUAUAAGACUGGGAUAACUUCGGGAAACCGGAGCUAAUACCGGAUGAUAUUUUGAACCGCAUGGUUCAAAAGUGAAAGACGGUCUUGCUGUCACUUAUAGAUGGAUCCGCGCUGCAUUAGCUAGUUGGCAAGGUAACGGCUUACCAAGGCAACGAUGCAUAGCCGACCUGAGAGGGUGAUCGGCCACACUGGAACUGAGACACGGUCCAGACUCCUACGGGAGGCAGCAGUAGGGAAUCUUCCGCAAUGGGCGAAAGCCUGACGGGGCAACGCCGCGUGAGUGAUGAAGGUCUUCGGAUCGUAAAACUCUGUUAUUAGGGAAGAACAUAUGUGUAAGUAACUGUGCACAUCUUGACGGUACCUAAUCAGAAAGCCACGGAUAACUACGUG